rnacentral:snRNA from 1 species
GUGCUCGCUUUGGCAGCAAAUACACUAAAAUUGGAACAAUACAGAGAAGAUUAGCAUGGCUCCUGCGCAAGGAUGACACACAAAUUCGUGAAGCAUUCCAUAUUUUU